ACGUAGGAGGCAAACGUUAUCCGGAUUUACUGGGCGUAAAGCGCGUGUAGGUGGUUUGGUAAGUAGAGCGUGAAAGCUCCUGGCUCAACUGGGAGAGGUCGUUCUAAACUGCCGGACUAGAGGAUGGUAGAGGGAGGAGGAAUUCCGGGUGUAGGGGUGGAAUGCGCUGAUCCCUGGAGGAACACCAGUGGCGAAGGCGGCUCCCCAGGCCAGCUCUGACACUGAGGAGCGAAAGCUAGGGGAGCAAACCG
rnacentral:rRNA from 1 species